rnacentral:rRNA from 1 species
UUACCUACGGGAGGCAGCAGUGAGGAAUAUUGGUCAAUGGACGAAAGUCUGAACCAGCCAUGCCGCGUGCAGGAAGACGGCUCUAUGAGUUGUAAACUGCUUUUGUACAAGGGUAAACCUGAAUACGUGUAUUCAGCUGAAAGUACUGUACGAAUAAGGAUCGGCUAACUCCGUGCCAGCAGCCGCGGUAAUACGGAGGAUGCGAGCGUUAUCCGGAUUUAUUGGGUUUAAAGGGUGCGUAGGCGGACUGUUAAGUCAGCGGUAAAAGCCCGGGGCUCAACCCCGGCGAGCCGUUGAAACUGGCU